UUUAACUGAGCGUUCAGUUACUUGACGUAGACCCGAAACCGGGCGACCUACCCAUGAGCAGGAUGAAGCGAAAGUAAAAUUUCGUGGAGGUCCGAACCCACGAGCGUUGAAAAGCUCGGGGAUGACUUGUGGGUAGCGGUGAAAUUCCAAUCGAGCCCGGAGAUAGCUGGUUCUCCCCGAAAUAGCUUUAGGGCUAGCCUCAAGGUGAGAGAUACGGAGGUAGAGCACUGAAUGUCCUAGGGGGUAUUGCACCUACCGAAGACUAUCAAACUCCGAAUGCCGUCAUCUUAUACUUGGGAGUCAGACUGUGGGUGAUAAGAUUCAUAGUCGAAAGGGCAACAGCCCAGAUCGUCAGCUAAGGUCCCUAAAUGUAAGUUAAGUGGUAAAGGAUGUGGGAUUGCACAGACAACCAGGAUGUUGGCUUAGAAGCAGCCACUCAUUCAAAGAGUGCGUAAUAGCUCACUGGUCGAGUGAUCCUGCGCCGAAGAUUUCCGGGGCUAAAACUUACUACCGAAGCUACGGCAUCAGUAAUGAUGGGUAGGGGAGCUUCCCAUACGGGUUGAAGCAUGACCGUAAGGACAUGUGGACAGUAUGGGAGUGAGAAUGUUGGCAUGAGUAGCGAGAUGUGGGUGAGAAUCCCACAGGCCGUAAACCCAAGGUUUCCAGGGGAAGGUUCGUCCGCCCUGGGUUAGUCGGGACCUAAGCUGAGGCCGAAAGGCGUAGGUGAUGGACAACAGGUUGAUAUUCCUGUACUACCGAUAACCGUUUGAGAGAAGGGAUGACACAGUAGGAUAAGCUAAGCACACUGUUGGUUAUGUGUGCCCAAGCAUUGAGGCAGUCAAAGUAGGCAAAUCCGCUUUGAUAAUGCUGGGAUGUGAUGGGGAGCGAAAUUUAGUAGCGAAGUAGCUGAUUUCACACUGUCAAGAAAAGUCUCUAUCGAGGUUAAAGGUACCCGUACCGCAAACCGACACAGGUGGGUGAGGAGAGUAUCCUAAGGCCAGCGAGAGAACUGUUGUUAAGGAACUCGGCAAAAUGACCCCGUAACUUAGGGAUAAGGGGUGCCACCAUCAGGUGGCCGCAGAGAAUAGGCCCAAGCGACUGUUUACCAAAAACAUAGGUUUCUGCUAAGUCGCAAGACGAUGUAUAGGAGCUGACGCCUGCCCGGUGCUGGAAGGUUAAGGGGAUCUGUUAGAGCAAUCGAAGCAGUGAACUUAAGCCCCAGUAAACGGCGGCCGUAACUAUAACGGUCCUAAGGUAGCGAAAUUCCUUGUCGGGUAAGUUCCGACCCGCACGAAAGGCGUAACGAUUUGGGCACUGUCUCAACAACAGACUCGGUGAAAUUGUAAUUCCGGUGAAGAUGCCGGAUACCUGCGACAGGACGGAAAGACCCCAUGGAGCUUUACUGUAGCUUGACAUUGGGUCUUGGUACUACAUGUACAGGAUAGGUGGGAGGCUUUGAAACCAGGACGCCAGUUUUGGCGGAGCCAUCCUUGGGAUACCACCCUUGUAGUACUGGGACUCUAACCAUAGGCCAUGAAUCUGGUCUUGGGACACUGUCAGGUGGGCAGUUUGACUGGGGCGGUCGCCUCCCAAAAGGUAACGGAGGCGCUCAAAGGUUCUCUCAGUACGGUCGGAAAUCGUACGUAGAGUGUAAAGGCAAAAGAGAGCUUGAUUGCAAGACAUACAGGUCGAGCAAGGAUGAAAAUCGGACUUAGUGAUCCGGUGGUUCUGCGUGGAAGGGCCAUCGCUCAACGGAUAAAAGCUACCCUGGGGAUAACAGGCUUAUCUCCCCCAAGAGUCCACAUCGACGGGGAGGUUUGGCACCUCGAUGUCGGCUCAUCACAUCCUGGGGCUGUAGUAGGUCCCAAGGGUUGGGCUGUUCGCCCAUUAAAGUGGUACGCGAGCUGGGUUCAGAACGUCGUGAGACAGUUCGGUCCCUAUCCGUCGCAGGCGUAGGAAAUUUGAGAAGACCUGUCCUUAGUACGAGAGGACCGGGAUGGACGUACCUCUGGUGUACCAGUUGUCCUGCCAAGGGCAUGGCUGGGUAGCUAUGUACGGAAUGGAUAAGCGCUGAAAGCAUCUAAGCGCGAAGCCAACUUCAAGAUAAGAUUUCCCACCGCAAGGGUAAGACCCCAGAAAGACUAUCUGGUUGAUAGGUCGAAGGUGUAAGUGCAGCAAUGUAUUUAGCUUAUCGAUACUAAUAG
rnacentral:rRNA from 1 species